CCCUUAGAUGUUCUGGGCUGCACGCGCGCUACACUGAUGCGCUCAACGAGUUUAUGACCUUGCCUGGAAAGGUUGGGUAAUCUUCUUAAAACGCAUCGUGAUGGGGAUAGAUUAUUGCAAUUAUUAAUCUUCAACGAGGAAUUCCUAGUAAGCGCGAGUCAUCAGCUCGUGCUGAUUACGUCCCUGCCCUUUGUACACACCGCCCGUCGCACCUACCGAUUGAAUGGUCCGGUGAAGCCUCCGGAUUGGCGCGCACCUCGGUGCCGCCGAGAAGUUGGCUAAACCUUACCAUUUAGAGGAAGGUGAAGUCGUAACA
rnacentral:rRNA from 1 species